UUGUCUCUUUAUUGGAAUUUCAGGAAAUAAUUGUCAGCCACACGUUUAGACUCUUUCCAACCGAUAGCAAAUUCUCCAAGCAUUAUCUCAAAUUGUGGAGAGUAAACAGCCUGGAUUUCAUGUAAUGAGUCAUUGGCUGAGGCAUAAGUCUGGAGAGAGGGAAGAGUUUGCGAAGGGUUUUCUGAAAAAUUUUGGAAGCUACUUCAGUUGAUCUCUGAGACUAUUUCUGAGUGGCCAGCAUCACCAGAGUGAUCAUGGAGAGAGAGCGGAUUCCCCUUUUAAGUGCUUACAUUGUGGAAGUUGUGCCAAAUGGUCAUGAUAUUAGUGUUUCAAGUGAUGAAGACGAAAUUCGACAGGUUCUCACCCUGGAUGAAGUAACCUACUACAGUCAUCAUCCUGGCUGGUCAAUAUUCCGGAGAUUCCUCUUCAUUUCCGUAUGGAUCAUCUUCAUUACAUUGCUGGUACUCUCAUGGUCUUCCGCCAUUCUGCACUUCCGUCAAUAUUGCCCAUAUCGUCAGGUCAACAGCAGUGACAAUUUUCAUAAAUAAAAUGAACCUAAUAUCACUUAAUAAGCAUACGGGCGUCGAUGUUGAGUCUUAAAAAAAAAUGUUGUAUUUAAUUAAUCAAUAAGCGUGUGAAUAAUGCGAUAAGGAGUUGCACGGUAAGUCCCCUCAAGAAUAAGUGAAAAGCGUGCAAUUGCAGUAAAUCACAAGAUAGUGAUGAUGUCAAUUGGGAAAAUCUGAAGAGCCCCACUGAAGAAUGUUUCACCAGAAAUAAGUAAAAUUCUCGAUGGAAAAAUACUGUCGAGAAGCAAAACUUGAGACAAAUGUAAGAUAGAGGCUCUAGAUGAAUCAACGAACGUAAAUAUUUUGUAGAUAAGGAGUUUGUGAAAGUGAAAUGCAUAUCAUAAUCUCUCAACAGAAGACUUUAACUUUUCGCAAGUUAUUGUUCCUGAAAGGCCGUAUUUAAAAAAAAGACAACAAGAAACUUCGAAAAAAAUAUACGAUUUUUUACUUAUCAGAAAAA